CUCUUAUCUCUUGUGAGCGCGGACGGCUCGCCGGCUAGGUUUCGGUGUAGGUUUAGAAGUAAGCUUUAGUUUAGAAUUGGACGAAUAAAUGAACGGAGCGUUCACAUAAACUCCGACACGAGUCGUAAAAGUGCAUUGAUAUAAUCAUAUUGUUGAGCCUUAAGGGCCAACCAAAUAGAGGGCAAUUACCCUCUCAACAUAAUCUUCGGUAGAAGACUCAGUUGCCAACCGCAACCACCGUCCCCCGCUACAAGAGCGGGCCACGGGAACCCGAUCGCUGCCGCCGGAGUCAUACCGUACCAUACCAACGCAUACCGCAGCUCGGACCAAAAACGACAUAAAGUUAAUUGACAUGAUAGUUCAUGUAUAGGAAUUGUUUCCUUUUAUACCCGGUACUCGAAGAGUAAAUAGGGUAUAUUGUAUUUGUGCGAAUAACAGUUGUAUGUAACGCACCGAAGCGUUUCCG
rnacentral:lncRNA from 1 species